UACAGAGGGGAGGCAAGCGUUGUUCGGAAUUACUGGGCGUAAAGGGCGCGUAGGCGGCCUGUUAAGUCGAACGUGAAAUCCCCGGGCUCAACCCGGGAACUGCGUCCGAUACUGGCAGGCUUGAAUCCGGGAGAGGGAUGUGGAAUUCCAGGUGUAGCGGUGAAAUGCGUAGAUAUCUGGAGGAACACCGGCGGCGAAGGCGACAUCCUGGACCGGUAUUGACGCUGAGGCGCGAAAGCCAGGGGAGCAAACGGG
rnacentral:rRNA from 1 species